rnacentral:rRNA from 1 species
ACGCUCGACACCUACGGAGGCAGCAGUAGGGAAUCUUCCACAAUGGACGCAAGUCUGAUGGAGCAACGCCGCGUGAGUGAAGAAGGUCUUCGGAUCGUAAAACUCUGUUGUUAGAGAAGAACACGAGUGAGAGUAACUGUUCAUUCGAUGACGGUAUCUAACCAGCAAGUCACGGCUAACUACGUGCCAGAAGCCGCGGUAAUCUGAGCGGGCUGGCAAGGC